rnacentral:lncRNA from 1 species
GCCUUUUCAAAGUAAUAAUAAAAAAAUAGAAAGUAAAAUAAUGUUGGAUUGGAUGGAGAUCCAUAGAGCAAAUGAAGAAAACUUACAUGGAAAAGUGAGAAACAUAGAUAUGUUUGUAUCGACUUGGUUAUUAGCCCAUCAAUGUGUAAGUUCCUCCUUGGAGAUCCAAUUCAUUCAUUCAAAACCUGAAAAAAGGUUGUGCUUGGGAGCUUUGACAAUGCUAAAAUCACCCUCUUAGCAGGUCAAUUGCCACCACCGUAUCUAUAAAAUUCUGUUAAAAGAGUAGUGGCUGACCCUGUAAGCACUCUCUCUAAUUCAACUAAUGGGAUUUCAACCACCUCCCUUUUCUCUUGCCAUAUCAAUUAUUGGGUCAUGAUUCUCAUCCCUAGUUGGGUAAUCUCCUUUUUUUCUUCUCUUUCUCGAUUGCAGCUCUUGUCACCCACCC